UUGACUGGAGUAAGAACUACCUGCUCUGCGGCAACAGUUCCUUGCAUCCACUACUUCUGUAAAAUAUGCACAGACAAAGUUCCAUUUACUGCCCUCAGAUGGAAGGCCAUUGUUGUCAGAUGUCCCCUUUCUAUAAAUGUAAAGCGUUGCAGGACAUGUCACUAUAUAAAAGAUAAUUAUAAUAGGCCCAGUAUGUGAUGAGGUUCCUGGGAGUGAAUGGGUUAAGCAGACCCCGUAGCUGGUCUCAGGAGACGCCAGUUUGGUGAAAUCGCAGCUCAAACAGUGUUAUUUAAUCUGUUUUAACAGCUCGCUGGUUGUGAACAUGCAAGACCUCAUUAACGCCGGGGGGUGUCUUAAUCUGCGCUGUCAGCACCGGAUUAUCCCCUAAAUGAAGCCCAUUUUUAUGUAAAAUCCUUUAUAUCUUAUUAAUGUGAGUUAAUCAUUGUCAGACAGACUGGAAGACAGAAGACAUCUUUAGCCUUUCUAAAUUAAUCGACAUCCAGAAGGGACUCUGUCACUGGUUCCCUAACGGGCGAUAUUUAGUCACCAUCACUUGCGCAGAUCAAUUUCUCCCCCCGCAUGACAUGUUACAGCAGUGUUUGAAGGGUUAAUAUGAAAAGCCCAUUCAGGACACAGACAAACAUGGCAUUCCUAGAGGCUGUGUCAGGAAAGACCAACUUAUACAGAGUUUAUCAUUAUCCAUUUAGCAUCAACAAUGUCUGCAGCGCAGUACAAAGUGGAUUAACAAACAAGUAGUCGCAACAAGAC